AAUGGUAGGAACAAAAUAAGAUAGUGACCAUGUGUCCACUUAACCCAAUUAAUCCUGGCAUGUAUAAAUACACCCUUAUAAUGCAUGUGAACAUGAUCAUCCCAAUAGAAAAUUCUCCUACUUAUAUAAACACAACGAACUCCUUGUGUAGAUGCCAUUGCGAAUUAUACAUGGAACUUCAAUUUAGCUCUAUCAAUAAAGUACUCCAAUGGGCAUAACAAAGACAAUAUAAAAUUCCUAUCAAAUUGUAAACUUUUGUGAUAUAGCCAAGCAUCUUCAAUUAUACCUCC
rnacentral:lncRNA from 1 species